rnacentral:lncRNA from 1 species
GGACCCAACGUGUUCUGACGCCUUAUGGACAACCGCGUCCAUCCAUCUCACAAACGGCCGUAUUCAUUCGCAUGGAAGCCAAGACUAAACGCAUCUUAGUUUCUCAAAAAUUACUAUGUAUAAACAAAGGAAUGAAAUUCUGGAUACCAAAUGAAACGUACAAGAUGCUACUUAUCAUAAAGGUACACAUUCCUGAUUCUCG